rnacentral:rRNA from 1 species
GAUGAACGCUGGCGGUGUGCCUAAUACAUGCAAGUCGAGCGAACGGACGAGAAGCUUGCUUUUCUGAUGUUAGCGGCGGGCGGGUGAGUAACACGUGGAUAACCUACCUAUAAGACUGGGAUAACUUCGGGAAACCGGAGCUAAUACCGGAUAAUAUUUUGAACCGCAUGGUUCAAAAGUGAAAGACGGUCUUGCUGUCACUUAUAGAUGGAUCCGCGCUGCAUUAGCUAGUUGGUAAGGUAACGGCUUACCAAGGCAACGAUGCAUAGCCGACCUGAGAGGGUGAUCGGCCACACUGGAACUGAGACACGGUCCAGACUCCUACGGGAGGCAGCAGUAGGGAAUCUUCCGCAAUGGGCGAAAGCCUGACGGAGCAACGCCGCGUGAGUGAUGAAGGUCUUCGGAUCGUAAAACUCUGUUAUUAGGGAAGAACAUAUGUGUAAGUAACUGUGCACAUCUUGACGGUACCUAAUCAGAAAGCCACGGCUAACUACGUG